UCAAUAAGCGGAGGAAAAGAAACCAACAGGGAUUGCCCCAGUAACGGCGAGUGAAGCGGCAACAGCUCAAAUUUGAAAUCUGGCUCCUAGAGUCCGAAUUGUAAUUUGCAGAGGAUGCUUUUGAUGCGGUGCCUUCCGAGUUCCCUGGAACGGGACGCCAUAGAGGGUGAGAGCCCCGUCUGGUCGGAUGCCAAAUCUCUGUAAAGCUCCUUCGACGAGUCGAGUAGUUUGGGAAUGCUGCUCUAAAUGGGAGGUAUAUGUCUUCUAAAGCUAAAUAUUGGCCAGAGACCGAUAGCGCACAAGUAGAGUGAUCGAAAGAUGAAAAGCACUUUGAAAAGAGGGUUAAAAAGUACGUGAAAUUGUUGAAAGGGAAGCGCCUAUGACCAGACUUGGGCCCGGUGAAUCAUCCAGCGUUCUCGCUGGUGCACUUUGCCGGGCACAGGCCAGCAUCAGUUUGCCUUGGGGGAAAAAGGCUUUAGGAACGUAGCUCCCUCGGGAGUGUUAUAGACUAUUGCACAAUACCCUGGGGCGGACUGAGGUUCGCGCAUCUGCAAGGAUGCUGGCGUAAUGGUCAUCAGCGACCCGUCUUGAAACACGGACCAAGGAGUCGUCUUCGUAUGCGAGUGUUCGGGUGUAAAACCCCUACGCGUAAUGAAAGUGAACGCAGGUGAGAGCUUCGGCGCAUCAUCGACCGAUCCUGAUGUUCUCGGAUGGAUUUGAGUAAGAGCAUACGGGGCCGGACCCGAAAGAAGGUGAACUAUUCCUGUAUAGGGUGAAGCCAGAGGAAACUCUGGUGGAGGCUCGCAGCGGUUCUGACGUGCGAAUCGAUCGUCAAAUAUGGGAAUGGGGGCGAAAGACUAAUC
rnacentral:rRNA from 1 species